UUAAGCUCUCUUUCUAAGCUCUGCUUUGCUUGUAAGUAGGGGAUAAGACAUGGCAAAUAGCACAGACACCUUCCGUGCACUAUUUCUUUCAUGGCAUGUUUACAUACUAGUAGUAAUACUGGGUCAAUGAUUGAUUUCUAUCCUCUUAUUCUCACUAGAAGCAUUAGGGUCAGCCCACAAACUGCUGAAUGGACAGGAUCAGACUGAUGUUGGGAAUGGGGCAAAAAAGAAAUUUUAACAACCUACUGCUUUAAACUUGCAUAUUGAAUACUGCUUUUACAUACUGAGCAUCUGAAGAAAGCUUAAAUAUACCUGUUUCAGCUUCUAAGCUUUUUGGAUAUCGGUUGGAUUUUGGUAUGAAAUGAAUAUUAUUUGUUGGCUCCUGUCACACUUGAGAAGCCAGAUAGUUGCCAUGUCUCCAAGUUGCCUGCAAGAGCUAUUUUCCAGGCAGCAGCCACGCUUUGUUUACAGAAAGCAGUGCUUGCAGAGACUUCAUAGGUGUUCAAAAUAAAGACCCUGUCUGUCAGCUGACAGGUGUGUGUGUACAUGGAGGGCUUGACAGUGUCACAUACAGUUGUGAGCAGUGUUAUUAAAAAGAAAAGCCUCACAGUGAGACUGGGGUGUGCUGAUAACUAGUUGUUUUUUUUACUGUACUGUAGAAUAAAUUUCAAAAGCUUUUUUUCCACAAGCCAUCAUUUCUUAUGAUUUUUGAGGCUGUAAACUGUUUAGGUUGCUUCUAUAAUUGAUGGUAUAUGCAGCUGCAUGUUUAAGAUGUCUUUGGGGCCACAUUAGCUCAUGCAGCACUUUGUUACAUAGAGGUACUUACAUUGUACAUCUCCUGCCUUCCCUUCAUGUUUUGCUCUUAAACACCAGAGGUGGAUCAAAGGUCGGGAUGCUUCUCCUUUACAGCCCUUGUGCUGUCCCUCUUGUUUGUCACACCAUCUCUAAUGCAACUCCAGAGAGAUUUCUGUUGUAAGUCGUGUGUUUCUGGGUGCGAGGAAGAUAAACGGCGAGUGCUGCUGGCAGAAGUCAGGAACUGCAUUUGAACCAGGCUGCUUAGCAGACAGCGGAAAGAUAAAAUGUUAUAGUUUACUUUCAGCUUUGAUUUCUUAGCAUAAGAAAAGAAAGAGUGGCCGUAAAGAGGAUUUUAGAUAAGCAAGAGAACUGGACAAAUGGUUCAUACAUAUAUCUCGCUCCAAUUUAUAGGAGGUUCUCUGAAAUAUGUAUACCCAGCAUGAGAUUAAGAAGCAACGGUCCAGGUGCUGGUCCAACCAUUUUAUUACAAAUCUUAAUAAGGGUGAUGGGGAUGGGGAAGGGGAGGAUGGACGAUUUAGGGCGAUAGGGAAGGGAAGGCGGGCGAUAGAAAAGACAGUAAGAGGCAAGAACUACAUAAAGUGGGGAUAGUCACCACCAGGAUCCGGCAGUCGUCCCGUUGCACGAUGUUCCGACACCUUCUCGGGGGGGGAGAGCAGCAGCAGAGUGGCUGACCUUAGGCAGCAGUCACGUAGAGUGCAGAGAAAGUCCAGGAGGGAGAGGCAGGUCGUGAGGCUUCUCAUGUCAGAAACCUUCUUCUCAUUCUUCGUCAAGAAUCUGUUGUCAGAAAACCUCUCUCUUCUUCAGCAUGAGGAAUCUGUUGUCAGAAACCUAAUCUCAUGGCUGUUCAUCCCUUUGUUUUUUUUUUUUUUUUAAUCCUUCUUCUGCCAACGUGGCAUUCCGGGGUGCUUGGGUAAGAGCCAUGUGUACUACCCCCCAAAAUGCCUAUCUCCCUCAAGUUAAGCCCACACAAAAGACUGCUUCCUGGCCAUUAAGCUCUGGCUUAUCUCUCUCUCCCUCUCUCUCUCCUUGCCCCUGGCCUUGUCCAUCUGUGUCCCUCAGACAAAAGAUUUCACAACCUUUGCCCAGGACUUGCUUGGACUUGUUCACCUGCAUCCCUCAGCAAGCUUUGAGACAAUGAUGCAAAUGAAUAAUCUCUUAGAACAGGAAGGAAAGGAGUGAUCAUACGGGGAAGAAAAAAAGAGCAGAAGAGUACCGCUGCAGAAUAAAGAGCAGUGAGGAAACAAAAAAGCAGCAGAAGAGGAGUGCAAAUGCAUAAGAAACAGGAGAGUGGAAAGAAAGAGCAGAAGAGUAGAGCAGAUGGGGAAGGAAGACAAGCAAGGAGAGGGAAAAAAAGAACAGGAGAGCAGAUGAAGAAAAAAACUGAAGAUAAAAAGAAGAACGAACAGCAGAAAAGAGCAGAUACACAAGAAAGAACAGGAGAAGAGGAGAGCAGAUGUAGAAGAAAGGAGGACUGAGCGUAGAUAAAAUAUAAAACAGCAGAAGAGCAGUGCAGAUGGGGAAUAAAGGAGUGGAGACGGAAGAAAGUACAGCAGCAGAGGAAUGUUGAUGCAUAACAAAGAGGAAUGAGGAUGCAGGCAAAAAAAAACAGCAGAAGAGGAGUGCAGAUGGAGAAGAAAGAAGUGACAAGAGGAUCGAGAAAUAACAGCUGAAGUGCAGUGCAGAUGCAGAAAAAAAGGCAAGUGAGGUUACAAGGAGGAAACAACAGCAGAAGAGGAGCACAGCUACAGGUGAUUGAGCAGAGAGAAUACAGGGAAGAAAGAAGAUGAGAAGUGCAGAUGCAGAAGAAAGGAGUGAGGAGACAGGGAAGAAAUAACAGGAGAAGAGUGAGGAUGCAGAUGAAACAGCAGAGGAUAUAGGGAAGAAGGAAGAGCAGAAAUGGGGUCCAGAGGCAGAAAAAAUAGGAGAGAGGAGAGAGAAGAAAGAGGAGAAGAGGAGAGCAGAUGUAGAAGAAAGAGUAGUGAGGAUACAGGGAAAAAAAACAGCAGAAGAGAACAGGUGCAGAUGAAAGCAGUGAGGAUACAGGGAAGAAGGAAGAGUAGAAAUGGGAUUCAGAUGCAGAAGAAAGCGGAGUGAGGAGAUGGAAGAAAAGAGCAGAGGCAGAGAGCAGAUGGAAAAGAAAGAGGAGUGAGGAUACAGGGAAGAAAGAACAGAAGAAAAGUGAGGAUAUGGAAGAGCAAUGAAGGUAGAACAGCAGAAGAGGUGGGAGGACACGGAAGAACAGCAGAAUAGUGCUGAUGCAGGAGUGAGGAGAGGGAAGAAAGAACAGCAGAGGAAGAGUGCAGAUGCAGAAGGAUGAGUGAUUAUACAGAAAAGUAAAAACAGCAGAAGAGUGCAGGGAAGAAAAGAUCAGAAGAGGAGUGGAGAUGCAGAAGUGGAUUGAGGAUAGAGUUGAAAAACAGCAGAAGAGGAAAGGGCAGAGAGGGAAGUGCAGGGAAGAAGGAAGAGCCUAAGAAGAGUGCAGAUGUAAAAGUGAGAAGAGAGGGAAGAAAGAAGAGCAGAGCUGAUGCAGAUGAAAAAGGAGUGAGGAAGCAGGGAAAAACAGCAGAAGGGGAAAUGAAAUGCAGAAGAAAGACGAAAGAGGAUAGAGAGAAGAAAGAACAGCAGAAGAGGAGUGCAGAUGAAGGAAGAGUGAGGAUACAGGGAAGAAAGAAUGGCACAAUAGGAGCUGUUACAGGAAGAAUUAGUAGCCAGCUGAAGAGGAGUGAGGACAGAGGGAAGGUGACCCAGCAGAAGAGGGAAGGAUAACACUAAGGGAGAAGAACUUAAGAGUAAAUGAGUUGCUGCAUCAGCAGGAAGAGGUAAAGCAGAAACAGGGAAGAAGAGUAAGGAGGAGAAAAAUGAUGUCAAGUGGGGGUCGCCUCCUUCAAGGCACCCUGCAAAUCCACCUCUGUGUGUUUAACUUUUAAAAACUUACCUUCGUGAAGGAACAGAGAUGAUUCCAUACUUGGCCAAGAAUCCUCUUCUGCCAUCCAGCACAUCCAUUUCUGAGCAGGACACCAUCACUCCAAUCGGUGCGUUGUCGUCUGUUCCUCCACCCUAAAAAGCAAAACAACCACGGACAGCUGACUAUAAAGCCUUCGGAGCAGUCAUUGACAGACACAAAGCUUGCAGAUAUCCACCACCAGUGACAUGCUGUGAGGUGAUGUCUCCAGGCCCAGUGCACAGCAACCUUUUCUUCAGAGCUUUAAUGCCUCCUGACAGCAAACCUCUGCUGCAAAAGCAUCCUUUGGCCAAGGAAACUGUGCCAUAAAGCACAAUGCUUUCUGAUCUGAUUGUACCUAUAAAGCAUAAAGACAAAUGGUGUCUUCCUCCUAAGUACCACCGCUUCUACACAGACUCCUCUCACCCCACAGAUACCAACUGCCAUUGUCAACCAAGAGGGGCCUCCAUGGGGCAGCAACUGCAGACAUAGACAUUAGCAGACACAGCUUUAAAUUACCCAAGAAACACAGAGGACUCAACCUAGUAAAUAACCACAGAACUACUUACCCCUUUCUGAGGAACAGGAACACAAAACACUACAAAAGGGCAGACCUCCAAGCAGAGCUCCUUCCCUGGAGGCAGCCAGCCCUUAAAUGAGGUUAGGAAAGGGUGGAACCAGCCUGCACCCCUUGGUCAGGCAAGUGAAUUGCUUCCACCUGUUCUCCACAGCAGAACAAAAACUAGAAGAACUUUUCUAAUAGCCACUGACUGACUAAGCUGAAGCAGAAGAGAUCCAAUUUCUGCUAAGUUGUGCACAGGGAACAACAACAAAAAAAAAACCAGCAGUUUUCCUCACACUCAGCCUAACUCUUACUUUACUUUAACUCUUACUUUCUUAACUCUCUUACUGCGACUGCUUCUUAGCCUCAAAGCAACAACAAGGAAAUGAAUAUAGAACUCAUACUUAAGGUUCCAAUUCAGCGUGACAUAACUCAAACAGAAGAAAGCUUCCAAAGAGAGACAUGCAGGGAAGGAAACAGUGAUAGCUUAGCAUUACCUAAUGUGAAAUAACGUCUCUCUCCAACUCGUGUUCUCAAUGAGGUAUUGACUUAUGCACAGUUAAAAUACAGAGCUCCUACUUUAUGAAAAAGGUAAUUCAGAAAACGUAAUAAAAACCUGGAGCUGUAUAUGAAUAAUUUAGGGCCAUUAUACCCACUGGAACUUACUUGAGAAUUUUAAGGAAUCCUAGAUCUUUGACUUAUAAAAUAAGGUAUUUUCCAGCCAAUAACAAGAUGAAUUUGUAUGAUUCAACUGCAGCUUUCAUUAAAAUGCUGAGUAUAUUUAGCAUACACUGACUUACAAGGUUCAAAUAACAGUUUCGGAUAAAAAAAAAAUAUCUAAGGGUCUGAUCCUGUUAGUGUUUCAUGCCUGCAACUACCACAAGAAGUCAGUAAGUGAAUCAUAGAAUGGCCUGGGUUGAAAAGGACCUCAAAGAUCAUCUAGUUUCAAAGACCAUCAUGGGUAUGGUUGCCAACCACCAGACCAGACUCACAGUUCUAGACUCUCUGUUCCAGAGAAAAAUCAGACAAGCAAAUCACAUGUGAUAACAAAGAAACUUUCACUUUUGAGAAAAAAAAUAUUAGACAAAUCUUGAUCCAUUUCCUGUGAAAUGCCCCUUCAUGCCACAUCUACAAAGCAAAAAGUAAAAUCCAUUUCAAGAAAUCAGUAUGUGUUGAAACAUAACGUAAUCGCAUAUAUACACAAAUAAAUCUUUCACAAUCAUUACCGAACUCCAUAGUUUUAGUUUGCCAAAGGAAAUUGCUCUGAUUCGUUUUAUCAGUCCUCCAGGGAAAAAUUCUGUAUGAAAAUUCAAGGCAGACGCUUGUUUCUCUCAUUCUUAAGCGUGCUGCCUGUAGUCUUGCUGAAAAGAACACUCAUGCUGUGUUGAACACUCAUUCAGAAAUGCAGCCCUCAUAAUAAAUCAUUUAUAUUCAUCACUAUGAUUAUGUCUAAGCAUUAAUGUCACUUGACAAGAGCAAAUCAUUAAAAAGCCACUGCCCAGAACGUAAUGCACCUACAGAAAAGCAAAAACAGUCUGUUUGAAAGAAGCAUCAAUUUAAGUGUACCAAAUCCUAGAGAUUCUCUACCUUGUGCAGUGCAACAUAAAAACACUGGUCCAUCAAAAUAACUAAGGGUCAGACAUAUUAGUUAGAAAAAAAAGCAUAUAAACCCAAAGGCUUGGAUUAGUUUACCAAUCAGUUUAACUUUGAGGUUCCUCUUCUUAGCUUCUCAUCAGCCACCACUCACAGCCUUGGAAGUCAUUCUCAUCAUUUUCAUAGAGCGUAUGGGAGGGCCUGGUGCCAUCUAGAAAGAAAACAGGCAGUUCACAGUUAUCUCCUGUGUUGUGAGCUGUUGCACAUUAUAAAGUUCUCUGCACUGCUCACUGCCACAGUAUGCACACAGGCACACAGCUCCAACACAGUUCACACAUCCUUUGCUCCAUACUUUAAAGUAAAAUGAGUAAGUAGUGAAGGGAACAAGCAAAACUGCCAUUCUUCAAUAUCAGCAUAUUUACUCAGCAUCAAUAUUUGGGGCUUUUUCUUCCUUUUUUGAAAAGGUACUAUGUCCUCUUUUAUGCAUCAGAAUGUGAUUAGCUAUUGGGCAUUUUCUAUUCCUAGAAACGAUAAUGCCAAAACCCGCAUUUAUGAUUAGCUUGGUCUCAACAACCACUGGGAAAUUUACAGCACAAUGAUCAGAAGAAAAAAAGCACCACUGAAAGUACAAUUAGCAGGUCACAGAAUUAUAGUCAAAGAAUGGCUUGGGCUGGAAGGGACCCCAAGGAUUAUCAAAUUCCAACCCCCCUGCCAUGGAUAGGGCCACCGACCUCCAGAUCUGGUACUAGAUAGGUUGCCCAGGUCUCCACCCAACCUGGUCUUGAAUACCUCCAGGGACAGAGCAUCCACAACCUCUCUGGGCAGUCUGUUCCAGCACCUCACCACCCUCUCUGUAAAGAACUUCCCCCUGAUGUCUAAUCUAAACCUUCCCUCC
ensembl:lncRNA